UUUCUUUCUUUUUCUUUCUGCCUCUCUUUUCUCCUCUCUUCUCAAAACCAAACUUUCUUUUCACAGUCCCCGCAUUCGUUCGAAGAUCGGGAUGCAGGAACAAAACAAUCUCAGCAGAAAAGAAAGAAGAAAAGUCGUUUUUCUUCCUUUUUUUCU
rnacentral:ribozyme from 13 species